GGUUUUCUGCCGUGUUCGUGAGAGACAGUCCAUUUGAAACCCCGUAAUGUGAAACUUGGGAACGGUCCCUGAAGUGCGACGGUCAGGCUCUCUUUUGGGAGAGUAGGCCAACGAGCUUCAUCUACUGUACCCACCUGGUGAACUCCAGGGUUUCAUGCCUAGCCUCGAUACCGGCACAGUGGUGGAAAU
rnacentral:other from 1 species